GACGAACGCUGGCGGCGUGCUUAACACAUGCAAGUCGAACGGAAAGGCCCUGCUUUUGUGGGGUGCUCGAGUGGCGAACGGGUGAGUAACACGUGAGUAACCUGCCCUUGACUUUGGGAUAACUUCAGGAAACUGGGGCUAAUACCGGAUAGGAGCUCCUGCUGCAUGGUGGGGGUUGGAAAGUUUCGGCGGUUGGGGAUGGACUCGCGGCUUAUCAGCUUGUUGGUGGGGUAGUGGCUUACCAAGGCUUUGACGGGUAGCCGGCCUGAGAGGGUGACCGGCCACAUUGGGACUGAGAUACGGCCCAGACUCCUACGGGAGGCAGCAGUGGGGAAUAUUGCACAAUGGGCGGAAGCCGGAUGCAGCAACGCCGCGUGCGGGAUGACGGCCUUCGGGUUGUAAACCGCUUUCGCCUGUGACGAAGCGUGAGUGACGGGAAUGGGUAAAGAAGCACCGGCUACUACGUG
rnacentral:rRNA from 1 species